AUCUUCUUCGAAUGAGAGAUGCAACGAACUCCGCAGCCGGUGGACGCCCUGGUGCGUGAGGGACUUCACGGUUCCCGGCUGACAUUUCAUUGCUGAAGCUGUGGCUUCGACGGACAGGU
rnacentral:misc_RNA from 1 species